UUUCUGAUAACCUCGUGCCGAUCGCACGUCCCUGUGACGGCGACAACGCAUUUGGAUGUCUGCCCUAUCAACUUUCGAUGCUAUUUUCCGCACCUGCCAUGGUGACCACAGGUAAUGGGGAAUCAGGGUUCAAUUCCAGAGAGGGAGCCUGAGAAACGGCUACCACAUGCAAGGAAGGCAGCAGACGCACAAAUUACCCGCUCCCAACGCGGGGAGGUAGUGACAA